rnacentral:rRNA from 1 species
GUCUUUAUGAAUUUUAUGUAAAGUCUAGCCUGCCCAGUGAUAAUUGAAUUUAACGGCCGCGGUAGCAUGACCGUGCUAAGGUAGCAUAAUCAUUUGUCCUUUAAUUGAGGACUGGUAUAAACGGCUGCACAAGAAAUUGUCUGUCUCUGCUAUAAAAUUUGAAAUUCACAUUUAAGUGAAAAGGCUUAAAUGGAAUAGGGGGACGAUAAGACCCUAUAAAUCUUUACAAUUAGGGCUUUAGUUAUUAGAAAGUAGUUAUGGAUCUAAAUCUAAGGUUUAAAUUGUUUUGUUGGGGCGACAGAAGUAUAAUAAGUAACUGCUUUGGUUUUCAUAUUAAUUGUUUUUAUUAUGGUUAGUUUAAAAGAUCCUCUUUUGGAGAUGACAGACUAAGUUACUUUAGGGAUAACAGCGUAAUCUUUCUUGAGAGUUCAUAUCGAAAGAAGGGUUUGCGACCUCGAUGUUGAAUUAAAGAACCUUUAUGGUGUAGCCGCUAUAAGAGGAGGUCUGUUCGACCUUUAAAUCUUU